rnacentral:tRNA from 1 species
GCAUGGCUAGCUCAGUUGGUAGAUUAUCAGACUUUUAAUCUGAGGAUCCAGGGUUCGAGUCCUUGGUCAUGUA